GUUGUGUUCAUAGCUACGAGGAGGGACUGGGAGAGAGUCUGAGUGAGUGGAGAACAGUAUAAUUUGUACAACAUAGGAGGGAAGCCAGAGAGAAGAAUGAGGAAUCUGAUGUCUGUCAACAUCAGCCUCCUCUGUGCUGUGAUCUGUGUGGUGUCAGCAGUGAUCACAAAGAGAGGGACAGAAGGAGGAAAUGAUAUCAUUCAGUGUCCUUAUGACCGGGCGUUUGAGACACACCAGAAGUACCUCUCUAAAGGGUUCUGGGCCGACCGGGUUGAUGUGAUCAGAACCCAAACGCAUCGGCACCCAGCGGUGACUCAUAAAGGGAGAUUCUCAAUGUAUGACGACACAGAGAGACGAGUCUUCAGUGUGAACAUCACUAACCUGGUCCCAGAGGAUUCAGGGACCUACUGGUGUGAAAUAAACACAUGGUGGUGGUAUAACAAGACUGAAGUCAGGAUCACUGUGGACAGAGCUACUGUUCCUCCCAACCCUGGCUCCAUCACCUCCAGACCUCUCCUCUCCACGACACACCCAUCAACACACAUCACCAUGGCAACUGACUCCUCAAACUCC